CCUACGGGGGGCAGCAGUGGGGAAUAUUGCGCAAUGGGCGAAAGCCUGACGCAGCGACGCCGCGUGAGGGAUGAAGGUCUUCGGAUCGUAAACCUCUGUCAGCAGGGAAGAACGGUCACUGUGCUAAUCAGCAGUGAAUUGACGGUACCUGCAAAGGAAGCACCGGCUAACUCCGUGCCAGCAGCCGCGGUAAUACGGAGGGUGCGAGCGUUAAUCGGAAUUACUGGGCGUAAAGCGCUCGUAGGUGGUAUGUCAAGUCAAGGGUGAAAGCCCCGGGCUCAACGUGGGAACUGCCUUUGAAACUGGCAAACUGGAGUGUGUGAGAGGAUAGUGGAAUUCCAGGUGUAGGAGUGAAAUCCGUAGAUAUCUGGAGGAACAUCAGUGGCGAAGGCGACUAUCUGGCACAUAACUGACGCUGAGGAGCGAAAGCGUGGGUAGCAAACAGGAUUAGAUACCCGUGUAGUC
rnacentral:rRNA from 1 species